GAUGAACGCUGGCGGCGUGCUUAACACAUGCAAGUCGAACGGAAAGGCCCUGCUUGCCGGGUACUCGAGUGGCGAACGGGUGAGUAACACGUGGGUGAUCUGCCCUGUACUUUGGGAUAAGCCUGGGAAACUGGGUCUAAUACCGAAUAUGACAAUUGUUUGGAUGCGAUUGUGGAAAGCUUUUGCGGUAUGGGAUGAGCUCGCGGCCUAUCAGCUUGUUGGUGGGGUAAUGGCCUACCAAGGCGUCGACGGGUAGCCGGCCUGAGAGGGUGUACGGCCACAUUGGGACUGAGAUACGGCCCAGACCCCUACGGGAGGCAGCAGUGGGGAAUAUUGCACAAUGGGCGCAAGCCUGAUGCAGCGACGCCGCGUGGGGGAUGACGGCCUUCGGGUUGUAAACUCCUUUCGCAACCGACGAAGCCUUUUGGUGACGGUAGGUUGAGAAGAAGCACCGGCUAACUACGUG
rnacentral:rRNA from 1 species